GACGAACGCUGGCGGCGUGCCUAAUACAUGCAAGUAGAACGCAGUUGCGGACGGGUGAGUAACGCGUAGGUAACUGCUUCAUAGCGGGGGAGAAAUAUUGGACACGAUAGCUAAUACCGCAUACUGCGAGAUGGACCUGCGUUGUAUUAGCUAGUUGGUGAGGUAAAGGCUCACCAAGGCGACGAUACAUAGCCGACCUGAGAGGGUGAUCGGCCACACUGGGACUGAGACACGGCCCAGACUCCUACGGGAGGCAGCAGUAGGGAAUCAUCGGCAAUGGAAGGAAGUCUGACCGGGCAACGCCGCGUGAGUGAAGAAGGUUUUCGGAUCGUAAAGCUCUGUUGUUAGAGAAGCGGUACCUAACCAGAAAGGGACGGCUAACUACGUGCCAGCCGCCGCGGUAAUAC
rnacentral:rRNA from 1 species